rnacentral:rRNA from 1 species
GCGUGGGUGAUGAAGGCCUUCGGGUUGUAAAGCCCUUUCGCCGGGGACGAUAGUGACGGUACCCGGAGAAGAAGCCUCGGCUAACUCCGUGCCAGCAGCCGCGGUAAGACGGAGGAGGCUAGCGUUGUUCGGAAUUACUGGGCGUAAAGCGCGCGCAGGCGGUCCUGCAAGUCAGGGGUGAAAGCCCGGGGCUCAACCUCGGAACUGCCCUUGAGACUGCGGGACUCGAGACCGGGAGAGGAGAGUGGAAUUCCCAGUGUAGAGGUGAAAUUCGU